rnacentral:lncRNA from 1 species
GCUGACACAGUGCAGCGCAUUGCGGCUGAACUCAAAUGCCACCCAACGGAUGAGAGGGUGGCUCUCCACCUAGAUGAGGAAGAUAAGCUGAGGCACUUCAGGGAGUGCUUUUAUAUUCCCAAAAUACAGGAUCUGCCUCCAGAGCUGUUGCAAUUAUGUUUGAAAAGCAGAAGAUCCCUGGUGCUCUCAAUCAACCUGUCAGCCUACCUUAGCCUCAAAUUAUCUGUUUUCUCCCCUCCUCUGAAUGAAAUACAUGCAGGGUACUUAUACUGUCAACUACUUCUCUGAACAAUUGAGUGACUGAUUGAAAAUUACAGGCAGAUACAUUUACUUGUUCUCUAAGCACUUGGGAUUCAAAGCAAUUAUUUUAGAAUGCAGUGUUAGAAUAGCUCUUAUAUUCUGGCACUUAGUUUAUAAUAAUAUGAUGUUUGUCUUAGAGAAAAUAUUGUUUUGUGACCUGGAUAUAUUAGAAGAGAUGUUAUAUGAAUAGCCAUCUUUGCAUGCUGUAAAGAUGGCGAGUGUAAGAGUUACCAAGAAAAGAAACAACAAAUGCCCAACAAAUACAUACUACAUUUUAAAAUAAUGUAGUAAUCUGACUCUGUUCUGGGUUUGAGGAAGUCAUUUAAAAAAAUAAAACAUAAGUAGCAAAGGUAUAACAAUAAAAAAUGAUUCAUCAUAUUUAGCUUUACUCCAUUUUACAUUAAUAAAAAAGGUUCCCAGGUUGAAUGGAAUUAGUCUACCAAACUGGGUUUCGCAUCCUUUAUAAUAGUCUGAUUCCAUUUUUAUUCAGAUUAAAUAAGGUACAAUUUUGGGUCCAGUACUCAGGAGCCAUGAAGGUCAGCUAAUACAAUUUUAGGAUGUCUGGUUUGUAUAACACUAAUAUAUACUAUGUAAUAAAUGUUAAAAACACCUAUUUGUCUUCAGCUAUGUACCCAACAACCUAUAGAAUUCUGGAAGAAUGAAAGAAGAGAAAUACCUGUAUCUGACUUAAAAUUGUGUA